rnacentral:rRNA from 4 species
GGUUAAGCGACUAAGCGUACACGGUGGAUGCCCUGGCAGUCAGAGGCGAUGAAGGACGUGCUAAUCUGCGAUAAGCGCCGGUAAGGUGAUAUGAACCGUUAUAACCGGCGAUUUCCGAAUGGGGAAACCCAGUGUGACUCGUCACACUAUCAUUAACUGAAUCCAUAGGUUAAUGAGGCGAACCGGGGGAACUGAAACAUCUAAGUACCCCGAGGAAAAGAAAUCAACCGAGAUUCCCCCAGUAGCGGCGAGCGAACGGGGAGGAGCCCAGAGCCUGAAUCAGCAUGUGUGUUAGUGGAAGCGUCUGGAAAGGCGCGCGAUACAGGGUGACAGCCCCGUACACAAAAGCGCAUGUGCUGUGAGCUCGAUGAGUAGGGCGGGACACGUGGUAUCCUGUCUGAAUAUGGGGGGACCAUCCUCCAAGGCUAAAUACUCCUGACUGACCGAUAGUGAACCAGUACCGUGAGGGAAAGGCGAAAAGAACCCCGGCGAGGGGAGUGAAAAAGAACCUGAAACCGUGUACGUACAAGCAGUGGGAGCCCCACCACUAAGCCAGUGGUGAACUCCACAUACGCAUCCUUUGCUGAGGAUACGGUUAACGGAGCGAAAGCGACGUUCAACCUCAAAAGAAGCAGAGGGGGCUUAGUGGUGGGGUGACUGCGUACCUUUUGUAUAAUGGGUCAGCGACUUAUAUUCUGUAGCAAGGUUAACCGAAUAGGGGAGCCGGAGGGAAACCGAGUCUUAACCGGGCGUUAAGUUGCAGGGUAUAGACCCGAAACCCGGUGAUCUAGCCAUGGGCAGGUUGAAGGUUGGGUAACACUAACUGGAGGACCGAACCGACUAAUGUUGAAAAAUUAGCGGAUGACCUGUGGCUGGGGGUGAAAGGCCAAUCAAACCGGGAGAUAGCUGGUUCUCCCCGAAAGCUAUUUAGGUAGCGCCUCGUGAAUUCAUCUCCGGGGGUAGAGCACUGUUUCGGCUAGGGGGCCAUCCCGGCUUACCAACCCGAUGCAAACUGCGAAUACCGGAGAAUGUUAUCACGGGAGACACACGGCGGGUGCUAACGUCCGUCGUGAAGAGGGAAACAACCCAGACCGCCAGCUAAGGUCCCAAAGUCAUGGUUAAGUGGGAAACGAUGUGGGAAGGCCCAGACAGCCAGGAUGUUGGCUUAGAAGCAGCCAUCAUUUAAAGAAAGCGUAAUAGCUCACUGGUCGAGUCGGCCUGCGCGGAAGAUGUAACGGGGCUAAACCAUGCACCGAAGCUGCGGCAGCGACGCUGAUGCGUUGUUGGGUAGGGGAGCGUUCUGUAAGCCUGCGAAGGUGGCCUGUGAGGGUUGCUGGAGGUAUCAGAAGUGCGAAUGCUGACAUAAGUAACGAUAAAGCGGGUGAAAAGCCCGCUCGCCGGAAGACCAAGGGUUCCUGUCCAACGUUAAUCGGGGCAGGGUGAGUCGACCCCUAAGGCGAGGCCGAAAGGCGUAGUCGAUGGGAAACGGGUUAAUAUUCCCGUACUUGGUGUUACUGCGAAGGGGGGACGGAGAAGGCUAUGUUGGCCGGGCGACGGUUGUCCCGGUUUAAGCGUGUAGGUGUGUGUUCCAGGUAAAUCCGGUUCACUUUAACACUGAGGCGUGAUGACGAGGCACUACGGUGCUGAAGCAACAAAUGCCCUGCUUCCAGGAAAAGCCUCUAAGCAUCAGGUAACAUCAAAUCGUACCCCAAACCGACACAGGUGGUCAGGUAGAGAAUACCAAGGCGCUUGAGAGAACUCGGGUGAAGGAACUAGGCAAAAUGGUGCCGUAACUUCGGGAGAAGGCACGCUGACACGUAGGUGAAGUGAUUUACUCAUGGAGCUGAAGUCAGUCGAAGAUACCAGCUGGCUGCAACUGUUUAUUAAAAACACAGCACUGUGCAAACACGAAAGUGGACGUAUACGGUGUGACGCCUGCCCGGUGCCGGAAGGUUAAUUGAUGGGGUCAGCGCAAGCGAAGCUCCUGAUCGAAGCCCCGGUAAACGGCGGCCGUAACUAUAACGGUCCUAAGGUAGCGAAAUUCCUUGUCGGGUAAGUUCCGACCUGCACGAAUGGCGUAAUGAUGGCCAGGCUGUCUCCACCCGAGACUCAGUGAAAUUGAACUCGCUGUGAAGAUGCAGUGUACCCGCGGCAAGACGGAAAGACCCCGUGAACCUUUACUAUAGCUUGACACUGAACAUUGAGCCUUGAUGUGUAGGAUAGGUGGGAGGCUUUGAAGUGUGGACGCCAGUCUGCAUGGAGCCGGCCUUGAAAUACCACCCUUUAAUGUUUGAUGUUCUAACGUGGACCCGUGAUCCGGGUUGCGGACAGUGUCUGGUGGGUAGUUUGACUGGGGCGGUCUCCUCCUAAAGAGUAACGGAGGAGCACGAAGGUUGGCUAAUCCUGGUCGGACAUCAGGAGGUUAGUGCAAUGGCAUAAGCCAGCUUGACUGCGAGCGUGACGGCGCGAGCAGGUGCGAAAGCAGGUCAUAGUGAUCCGGUGGUUCUGAAUGGAAGGGCCAUCGCUCAACGGAUAAAAGGUACUCCGGGGAUAACAGGCUGAUACCGCCCAAGAGUUCAUAUCGACGGCGGUGUUUGGCACCUCGAUGUCGGCUCAUCACAUCCUGGGGCUGAAGUAGGUCCCAAGGGUAUGGCUGUUCGCCAUUUAAAGUGGUACGCGAGCUGGGUUUAGAACGUCGUGAGACAGUUCGGUCCCUAUCUGCCGUGGGCGCUGGAGAACUGAGGGGGGCUGCUCCUAGUACGAGAGGACCGGAGUGGACGCAUCACUGGUGUUCGGGUUGUCAUGCCAAUGGCACUGCCCGGUAGCUAAAUGCGGAAGAGAUAAGUGCUGAAAGCAUCUAAGCACGAAACUUGCCCCGAGAUGAGUUCUCCCUGAGACUUAGAGUCUCCUGAAGGAACGUUGAAGACGACGACGUUGAUAGGCCGGGUGUGUAAGCGCAGCGAUGCGUUGAGCUAACCGGUACUAAUGAACCGUGAGGCUUAACCUU